rnacentral:tRNA from 1 species
ACUUAAAUAGCUUAUUCAUUAAAGCAUGAUAUUGAAGAUAUUAAGAAAAUUGUUUAAAUUUUUAAGUA